CUUUGAAACACCGGUUCUUGUCCAAUCACCAAAGCUAAGCAACGUCGUAACUGGUCAGUACCUAGAUGGGUGAUCGCUUGGGAAUACCAGGUGCUGUAA